GGGUUGGUUAUUUAAAAAAGGGGACAUCGGGAUGUGUGCAGUAAAAAAAAAAAAAGAAAAAGGGAAAAUCUUCUUCUUCUUCUCCUCCCAACUGACGCUUCCCUCUUCAAACCCUCUUCUCCCAUUCGGUUUUCUUCUUCUAGCCACAUGAGGAGCCCACCACCUAGCCAUAGCCGCCGUCGAUCGCGCACCAGGAGGCGUUGUCGUUCGUCUAGACCCAAAGUCAUCGACCAGGAGGCGUAGCUGCAUUCUUCUUCCAGGCCACGCCGUCCUUCCCAUUUGCCAGUCGUCGGCCUAAACCCAAGCGCUGUCCGCCAGUUUUGACGUGGACAGUUUUGGUUGUCGCAGGAUCACGGUUGUUUCCACCCGAUCUUUCUGUUUGGGGGCCUAUGAUGUUGUUGUGCACCUGUGUCCCGUGUCCCGUGUCCCGAUGGGAAGGCUGACAAAUCGCUGAGUGGGCCCAGUAGUGGGUCGCUUAUUGAGUAUACAUAUAUACUCACCUUUUUUUUUCUCUCGUGAUUUUCAGGUAAGGGCAAAGAUGUCUGGUGCCUGACAAGAGAGAUCUGUGACUUGGUCUUCCGCACUUAGGUUUCGUUUACUAGUGUCUAGUUUAGGAGUCAGACAUUUUAAAAUCCUAUGAAAUAUUCCUUGAUUUCAUUUAUUGAUUUGUUUAAUUGUUAUUUAUUUUAAAGUUGGGUUAGGGGUACCCCGAACAGUAUUUUCAAGAUUUCUCUUAUUUAUUUAUUUGCACUUUAUUUAAUGAAAUAAUUUUUUUUAUC